UACGUAGGGGGCUAGCGUUGUCCGGAUUUAUUGGGCGUAAAGGGCGCGUAGGCGGCCUGCUAAGUCGAACGUGAAAUCCCUGGGCUCAACCCAGGAACUGCGUCCGAUACUGGUUGGCUUGAAUCCGGGAGAGGGAUGUGGAAUUCCAGGUGUAGCGGUGAAAUGCGUAGAUAUCUGGAGGAACACCGGUGGCGAAGGCGACAUCCUGGACCGGUAUUGACGCUGAGGCGCGAAAGCCAGGGGAGCAAACGGG
rnacentral:rRNA from 1 species